rnacentral:rRNA from 1 species
AAACUAAAAAGGAUUCCCUUAUAAUGGCGAAUGAACAGGGAUGAGCUCAACGUGGAAAUUGUGGCUUGUAGCUUUCAAUUGUAUCUUCAAGAUGGUAUGCUAACGGUGGCGUAGAUGUAAGCCUCUUGGGAAAGAGGAACGCUGUGGGUGAGAAUCCCUUCUGCCAUCUGCAGUCCCCCGUGCACGGCAUUCACUCUAAGAGUCACGUUCCUCGCAAUUGGAACGCAAAAUGGGUGGUAAAUCUCAUCCCAAGCUGAAUAUGGGCUCGAGACCGAUAGCAAAUAAGUACCAUGAGGGAACAAUGAAAAGGACUUUGAAGAGAGAGCUAAAAGUGCUUGAAUUUGCUGGAAGGAAAGCGGAUGGAACCAGUGUUGCUUGGUGAGACUGCUGCAUUCUAUGGUGAACGACCGUCGCUCCAGCGUAAGCAGCACGAUGGCCUUUGAUCCUGACGAGUGCGAUGCUUCUUGCUUUGUGUGCCAUCGACAGUGUGAUGAUGAAGAGACUUCCGAGGCKCGAAUAGCCUGCCCCUGGGUGGGUGAAUGUGCCUUGCGAACCUCAUCGCCAUACUUCUCCCGUAGGCGCGUGGGUAGCUGCUGCGCUACUCUUGUAGCAAGGCUUUGCCUGGGCCCCCUGGUGGCGAAAUGGUUUCAUUCGACCCGUCUUUGAAACACGGACCAAGGAGUUCUAACAUAUGUGCAAGUUCUUGGGUGUCGAAGUCCACGUGCGCAAUGAAGGUGAUUACUGAGACGCUUGCUUCAGCAGCCGACUGAUCAAUUGGGAGAGGUUUGAGCAUGAGCAUAUCUGUUUGGACCCGAAAGAUGGUGAACUAUGCCUGAGAAGGGUGAAGCCUGGGGAAACUCAGGUGGAGGCUCAUAGCGAUACUGACGUGCAAAUCGUUCGUCAUACUUGGGUAUAGGGGCGAAAGACUAAUCGAACCAUCUAGAAGCUGGUUCCCCCCGAAGUUUCCCUCAGGAUAACUGGAGUUGAACAGUUCUGUCAGGUCAAGCGAAUGAUUAGAGGAAUCGGGGGCGUGUCGCCCUCGACCUAUUCUCAAACUUUAAAUGGGCAAGCUCCAGUUGUUGCUUCGUUGAACUUCUGGAAUAAAUUGCAACUCUAAGUGGGCCAUUUUUGGUAAGCAGAACUGGCGAUGAGGGAUGAACCUAACGUUGGGAUAAGGUGCUUAACUGCUCGUUCAUCAGAUACCAUAAAGGGUGUUGGUUCAUUUUGACAGCAGGACGGUGGUCAUGGAAGUCGAAAUCCGCUAAGGAGUGUGUAACAACUCACCUGCCGAAUGGACUAGCCCCGAAAAUGGAUGGCGCUUAAGCGGGUGGCCGAUACCCAACCAUCACUGCAACUGUGAUGCAGUGAUGCGUAGGGGGGCACGGGGGUCCGUGGUGAAGCCUGUGGCGUGAGCCUGGGUGAAACGGCCCCUGGUGCAGAUCUUGGUGGUAGUAGCAAGUAUUCAAAUGAGAACUUUGAAGACUGAAGUGGAGAUGGGUUCCAUGUGAACAGCAAUUGGACAUGGGUUAGUCGAGCCUAAGAGACAGGGAUGUUCUGCACACGCGAGCUUUGUUUCGAUUUCCGAGAGGGGGCGGGGUUAAUAUUCCUUAGCCAGGACGUGGAUACAGUAUGGCGACGUAAAGGAUUUUGGUGACGUAGGAGGGGGCCCUGGGAAGCGUUGUCUUUUCUUUUUAACAGCCCAUUACCCUGGAAUCAGAUUGCC